UACGUAGGAUGCAAGCGUUGUCCGGAAUUAUUGGGCGUAAAGAGCUCGUAGGCGGUCUGUCACGUCGGCUGUGAAAACCCGGGGCUCAACCCCGGGCCUGCAGUCGAUACGGGCAGACUAGAGUGCGGUAGGGGAGACUGGAAUUCCUGGUGUAGCGGUGGAAUGCGCAGAUAUCAGGAGGAACACCGAUGGCGAAGGCAGGUCUCUGGGCUGUUACUGACGCUGAGGAGCGAAAGCAUGGGGAGCGAACAGG
rnacentral:rRNA from 1 species